UUUGGGUGUCUAAAGACUGCACUUCAACUUUUGGGGAAUGGAGGGCCACAAAGUGGGUGAAGCCACCAUCACAAAUAGCUGAAUUGGGAAAAGGCCAGCCUUCUCAAGUCUAGUGUCUCUCAGAUGUCUUUGUGUACAAGCUUCAGCAUUCGUACCUAGCAUGAACAUUGGAUCCAUCCCAAUUCUACUCCAAAGGAUCCUUCAAACCCCUUUAUAAAAUCUAGACAUGCAGGGAGACAGAUAUUAUGAAAAUAUGUACAUCUCCUUAAGAAAUAUUGUUGCU